AGUGAUGAUUUCAAAAACGAUGCGAAGGAUUGUGAAAUCUUUCCAGGAGAUGAAGCUGUUCUAUCAAUGCCAGAUUCUGCUUUGGUUCCUUCCAAUGGUUAUCAUCAGAAAUUAUCCUCCGAAGUUAUAAACUCAUCAUACGGGAUUUGCUCAAAGACAUUGUGCAAAGCUGUGUCCACACAUGGCGAAACUUAUCAGGACUGUGACAAGGAAGGAAGCUCCUAAAAAGUGGCAAAAGAUUUGAGCGUAAAUCUUGGAAUAAACUAUACGCUAACUACGCCAUGCAAUGGUGGAUUUAUUUGGAUGUCGUGGAACACUUUGGGAUGAUGCAGUGACGCUUGUUGAAAUAUCCUUGUAUAUCCGCAAUAUCGUGAUUCAAAUUGAUCAGCAUUUGUACACGCACGUAGUACCAGUCUUUCUUCGAUUUCGCGCCAGUCGAGUUUGUUUAGCUCAGUUGGAUACUGAAGAAGAAUUUUAUAUCACCAAGUGAAACCUCGGAAUAUUUGCUGCUCUUGACCCUCGUCUGCUGAUUUUUUUGGCUGUUUUUAUAAAGAUUGACACUUGAUUUUCAAUCCAGCCUGCAGUUAACCUGCCAAUGUUGCGGUAGCUAUGAAUGGUGGUUUGAAAUGUUGAAUACAAAUAACCCGACGCGGAGUAUUUUAUAUUUAGUCGGAUGCUAUCCACGACAGGCAAGUGUCAUAAUCUUCAAAUAACUGGGAUAACGUUUUAUACUGAUAAACUGCCUAAAAUAUAUACAAACACUUCUUAAUCUAUAGGGGUUCGUCAAAUGCUGUACUAUGAAGGAUAAUACGAGACUUUCGAUCGAUAUGAAAACAACUAUAUAUAAUUAUAUAUGAAUUAAGUUCGUCCCGGCAGCCAUGCAAUCAUAGCGAGAUGUUUCAUCUACAUACAUGGCAAUAUUUGGUAUGCGGUUUUAACGAAACUCUCUGCAAAACAUUACAUUGGCACCAUUAAGUAGGAUUUUCAUGGCCCCCUGGUCAAAACCUUCGUUCCCGCAGUUGAUGCUUGGGUUCUCAGGACAGUUUGAACAAUCGUCGGUAAAACUUGAUCGGAAC
rnacentral:lncRNA from 1 species